rnacentral:rRNA from 1 species
AGUUAACGUUGGCGGCGUGCCUAACACAUGCAAGUCGAACGCGUCCUAAGGGCAACUUUAGGAUGAGUGGCGAACGGGUGAGUAUCACGUGGGUAAUCUUCCUUCAAGUGGGGGAAUAAGCUCUCGAAAGGGAGUCUAAUACCGCAUGACAUUCCGGGACACAAGUCCCGUAAUCAAAGCCGCAAGGCGCUUGAAGAUGAGCCUGCGUCCUAUUAGCUAGUUGGUGGGGUAACGGCCUACCAAGGCUUAGAUGGGUAGCCGGCCUGAGAGGGUGAACGGCCACACUGGGACUGAGACACGGCCCAGACUCCUACGGGAGGCAGCAGUGAGGAAUUUUGCGCAAUGGGGGAAACCCUGACGCAGCGACGCCGCGUGGAGGAUGAAGGCCUUCGGGUCGUAAACUCCUGUCAGAGGUGAAGAAUACCCGCAAGGGUUUGACGGUAACCUCAGAGGAAGCCCCGGCUAACCUACGUG